rnacentral:rRNA from 1 species
UGGGGAAUAUUGCGCAAUGGGGGGAACCCUGACGCAGCCAUGCCGCGUGAAUGAAGAAGGCCUUCGGGUUGUAAAGUUCUUUCGGUAUUGAGGAAGGUUGAUGUGUUAAUAGCACAUCAAAUUGACGUUAAAUACAGAAGAAGCACCGGCUAACUCCGUGCCAGCAGCCGCGGUAAUACGGAGGGUGCGAGCGUUAAUCGGAAUAACUGGGCGUAAAGGGCACGCAGGCGGUUAUUUAAGUGAGGUGUGAAAGCCCUGGGCUUAACCUAGGAAUCGCAUUUCAGACUGGGUAACUAGAGUACUUUAGGGAGGGGUAGAAUUCCACGUGUAGCGGUGAAAUGCGUAGAGAUGUGGAGGAAUACCGAAGGCGAAGGCAGCCCCUUGGGAAUGUACUGACGCUCAUGUGCGAAAGCGUGGGGAGCAAACAGGAUUAGAUACCCUGGUAGUCCACGCUGUAAACGCUGUCGAUUUGGGGGUUGGGGUUUAACUCUGGCGCCCGUAGCUAACGUGAUAAAUCGACCGCCUGGGGAGUACGGCCGCAAGGUUA